rnacentral:rRNA from 1 species
AGAUAGCAUAUCAAUAAGCGGAGGAAAAGAAACCAACAGGGAUUGCCUUAGUAACGGCGAGUGAAGCGGCAACAGCUCAAAUUUGAAAUCUGGCCCUUGGGUCCGAAUUGUAAUUUGUAGAGGAUGAUUUUGGUGCGGUAUCUUCCGAGUUCCUUGGAACAGGACGCCUUAGAGGGUGAGAGCCCCGUACGGUUGAAUGCCUAGCCUCUGUAAAUCUCCUUCGACGAGUCGAGUAGUUUGGGAAUGCUGCUCUAAAUGGGAGGUAAAUUUCUUCUAAAGCUAAAUAUUGGCCAGAGACCGAUAGCGCACAAGUAGAGUGAUCGAAAGAUGAAAAGCACUUUGAAAAGAGGGUUAAAUAGCACGUGAAAUUGUUGAAAGGGAAGGAUUUGUGACCAGACUUUUUCUGGGCGGAUCAUCCGGGGUUCUCUCCGGUGCACUUCGCCCAGUAAAGGCCAGCAUCGGUUUUCGGCGUGGGAUAAAAGCAGUAGGAAUGUGGCUCUCUACGGGGAGUGUUAUAGCCUAUUGUAUAAUACCGCGCUGGGGACCGAGGUUCGCGCUUCUGCAAGGAUGCUGGCGUAAUGGUUAUCAAUCACCCGUCUUGAAACACGGACCAAGGAGUCGAACAUUUGUGCGAGUGUUUGGGUGUUAAACCCUCACGCGUAAUGAAAGUGAACGGAGGUGAGAGCCCUUACGGGUGCAUCAUCGACCGAUCCUGAAGUUUUCGGAUGGAUUUGAGUAAGAGCAUAACUGUUCGGACCCGAAAGAUGGUGAACUAUGCGUGGAUAGGGUGAAGCCAGAGGAAACUCUGGUGGAGGCUCGCAGCGGUUCUGACGUGCAAAUCGAUCGUCAAAUCUGCGCAUGGGGGCGAAAGACUAAUCGAACCAUCUAUUUGAG